CCUACGGGCGGCUGCAGUGGGGAAUAUUGGACAAUGGGGGGAACCCUGAUCCAGCCAUGCCGCGUGUGUGAAGAAGGCCCUCGGGUUGUAAAGCACUUUCAGUGAGGAAGAACGCCUGGUGGUUAAUACCCAUCAGGAAAGACAUCACUCACAGAAGAAGCACCGGCUAACUCCGUGCCAGCAGCCGCGGUAAUACGGAGGGUGCGAGCGUUAAUCGGAAUUACUGGGCGUAAAGCGCGCGUAGGUGGCUUGAUAAGCCGGUUGUGAAAGCCCCGGGCUCAACCUGGGAACGGCAUCCGGAACUGUCAAGCUAGAGUGCAGGAGAGGAAGGUAAAAUUCCCGGUGUAGCGGUGAAAUGCGUAGAGAUCGGGAGGAAUACCAGUGGCGAAGGCGGCCUUCUGGACUGACACUGACACUGAGGUGCGAAAGCGUGGGUAGCAAACAGGAUUAGAUACCCGAGUAGUC
rnacentral:rRNA from 1 species